AGGCAGAAUCCACAGCGGAGGUAGGACUAGAACUAUGAAGUUGCUGAAGAAUGUAUUCUGCAGAGUUGGGUAGAAAGAUAGGAGAAGUAGGAUAAGAAAGACGCAGGUUGAAAGUCACAAGAACCUUAAAAGGGGGCUGGAAUGGUGUAGCUCAACUGGUAGAGUGAAACUAGUAUGCAUGAAGCUGUGGGUUCAGUCCCCAUCCUUGAUGAUCCAUCUGUCAUUCCAGGCUUACAUAGUGAGCCCUCAAGGCUAGCCUGGGCUACAUGAGACCCUGUGUCAAAAACCAAAUAAAAACUAAGACAAAAUACUUUAACUAGUAGUGUGUUAUAAGUAAAAAAUAUCCAGGAAGAUUAAUGGGACUACUCACAUUUUAGUUCAGGGAUAAAAGAAUGAACAUAUACAAGGUGUUUUUAAAGGAACAAUGAAGAAUAAAAAUUAAUUUGCUUCAUGGGAAUACCCCAAUUCACAUUUUUGAUAAGGCAGUCUGGCUUGGUAGCAAGCACCUUUACAAGGAAGCCAUCCUGUUCUUGUCACUAGAAGGAUUAGUUACCCAGUUAUUUAAACCAUUCACUUCCUUUGUUUGGUCCUCAAUGGGUUUAUAAGUGAUAAUGAGUUUGAGGACAGUGUAACCCAAACAAAACUAAACAAGCAGAUAAUACUUAUUCAGCUUAUGGU
rnacentral:lncRNA from 1 species